GUUGUAUGGUUAAGUGACUAAGCGUACACGGUGGAUGCCUUGGCAGUCAGAGGCGAUGAAAGACGUAGUAACUUGCGAUAAGCCCAGAUUAGGUAGUAACAACCAUUUGAGUCUGGGAUUUCUGAAUGGGGAAACCCACUUACAUAAGUAAGUAUCAUUAACUGAAUACAUAGGUUAAUGAGGCGAACCGGGGGAACUGAAACAUCUAAGUACCCCGAGGAAAAGAAAUCAACCGAGAUUCCGAAAGUAGCGGCGAGCGAAAUUGGACUAGCCCUUAAGCUUUACACGCGUUAGACGAACGGUCUGGAAAGUCCGACGAUACAGGGUGAUAGUCCCGUAGUUGACGACGUGUGUUCAGUGAAAUCGAGUAGGGCGGGACACGUGAUAUCCUGUCUGAAUAUGGGGGGACCAUCCUCCAAGGCUAAAUACUACUGACUGACCGAUAGUGAACCAGUACCGUGAGGGAAAGGCGAAAAGAACCCCUGUGAGGGGAGUGAAAUAGAACCUGAAACCGUGUACGUACAAGCAGUAGGAGCAGGCUUGUCCUGUGACUGCGUACCUUUUGUAUAAUGGGUCAGCGACUUAUAUUCAGUGGCAAGGUUAACCAUCUAGGGGAGCCGUAGGGAAACCGAGUCUUAACUGGGCGUUCAGUCUCUGGAUAUAGACCCGAAACCAGGUGAUCUAGCCAUGGGCAGGUUGAAGGUUGAGUAACAUCAACUGGAGGACCGAACCGACUAAUGUUGAAAAAUUAGCGGAUGACUUGUGGCUAGGGGUGAAAGGCCAAUCAAACCUGGAGAUAGCUGGUUCUCCCCGAAAGCUAUUUAGGUAGCGCCUCGGACGAAUACUACUGGGGGUAGAGCACUGUUAAGGCUAGGGGGUCAUCCCGACUUACCAACCCUUUGCAAACUCCGAAUACCAGUAAGUACUAUCCGGGAGACACACGGCGGGUGCUAACGUCCGUCGUGGAGAGGGAAACAACCCAGACCGCCAGCUAAGGUCCCAAAUUACUACUAAGUGGGAAACGAUGUGGGAAGGCUCAGACAGCCAGGAUGUUGGCUUAGAAGCAGCCAUCAUUUAAAGAAAGCGUAAUAGCUCACUGGUCGAGUCGGCCUGCGCGGAAGAUGUAACGGGGCUAAGUAGUAAACCGAAGCUGCGGCAAUGUGCUUUUGCACAUUGGGUAGGGGAGCGUUCUGUAAGCGGUUGAAGGUGUGUGGUAACGCAUGCUGGACGUAUCAGAAGUGCGAAUGCUGACAUGAGUAACGAUAAAGGGGGUGAAAAACCUCCUCGCCGGAAGACCAAGGGUUCCUGUCCAACGUUAAUCGGGGCAGGGUAAGUCGACCCCUAAGGCGAGGCCGAAAGGCGUAGUCGAUGGGAAACGGGUUAAUAUUCCCGUACUUCUUACAAUUGCGAUGGGGGGACGGAGAAGGCUAGGUGGGCCUGGCGACGGUUGUCCAGGUUCAAGUGCGUAGGCUUAAGAGUUAGGUAAAUCCGGCUCUUUUUAAGGCUGAGACACGACGUCGAGCUACUACGGUAGUGAAGUCAUUGAUGCCAUGCUUCCAGGAAAAGCCUCUAAGCUUCAGAUUGUAAGGAAUCGUACCCCAAACCGACACAGGUGGUCGGGUAGAGAAUACCAAGGCGCUUGAGAGAACUCGGGUGAAGGAACUAGGCAAAAUGGUACCGUAACUUCGGGAGAAGGUACGCUCUCGACGGUGAAGUCCCUCGCGGAUGGAGCUGACGAGAGUCGCAGAUACCAGGUGGCUGCAACUGUUUAUUAAAAACACAGCACUGUGCAAAAUCGUAAGAUGACGUAUACGGUGUGACGCCUGCCCGGUGCCGGAAGGUUAAUUGAUGGGGUUAGACUUCGGUCGAAGCUCUUGAUCGAAGCCCCGGUAAACGGCGGCCGUAACUAUAACGGUCCUAAGGUAGCGAAAUUCCUUGUCGGGUAAGUUCCGACCUGCACGAAUGGCGUAAUGAUGGCCACGCUGUCUCCACCCGAGACUCAGUGAAAUUGAAAUCGCUGUGAAGAUGCAGUGUACCCGCGGCUAGACGGAAAGACCCCGUGAACCUUUACUACAGCUUGGCACUGAACAUUGACCCUACAUGUGUAGGAUAGGUGGGAGGCUUUGAAGCACGUACGCCAGUAUGUGUGGAGCCGUCCUUGAAAUACCACCCUUGUAGUGUUGAUGUUCUAACGUCGACCCCUUAUCGGGGUUGCGGACAGUGCCUGGUGGGUAGUUUGACUGGGGCGGUCUCCUCCCAAAGAGUAACGGAGGAGCACGAAGGUGGGCUAAUCACGGUUGGACAUCGUGAGGUUAGUGCAAUGGCAUAAGCCCGCUUGACUGCGAGAAUGACAAUUCGAGCAGGUGCGAAAGCAGGUCAUAGUGAUCCGGUGGUUCUGAAUGGAAGGGCCAUCGCUCAACGGAUAAAAGGUACUCCGGGGAUAACAGGCUGAUACCGCCCAAGAGUUCAUAUCGACGGCGGUGUUUGGCACCUCGAUGUCGGCUCAUCACAUCCUGGGGCUGAAGUCGGUCCCAAGGGUAUGGCUGUUCGCCAUUUAAAGUGGUACGCGAGCUGGGUUUAGAACGUCGUGAGACAGUUCGGUCCCUAUCUGCCGUGGGCGUUGGAAGAUUGAAGGGGGCUGCUCCUAGUACGAGAGGACCGGAGUGGACGAACCUCUGGUGUUCGGGUUGUGUCGCCAGACGCAUUGCCCGGUAGCUAAGUUCGGAAUCGAUAACCGCUGAAAGCAUCUAAGCGGGAAGCGAGCCCUGAGAUGAGUCUUCCCUGAUACUUUAAGUAUCCUAAAGGGUUGUCGGAGACUACGACGUUGAUAGGUCAGGUGUGUAAGUGCUGUGAGGCAUUGAGCUAACUGAUACUAAUUGCCCGUGAGGCUUAACCAUACAACACCCAAGGGGUUU
rnacentral:rRNA from 1 species